UACGUAGGGUGCGAGCGUUGUCCGGAAUUAUUGGGCGUAAAGGGCUCGUAGGCGGUCUGUUGCGUCGGGAGUGAAAACUCAGGGCUUAACCCUGAGCCUGCUUCCGAUACGGGCAGACUAGAGUGCGGUAGGGGAGACUGGAAUUCCUGGUGUAGCGGUGAAAUGCGCAGAUAUCAGGAGGAACACCGGUGGCGAAGGCGGGUCUCUGGGCCGAUACUGACGCUGAGGAGCGAAAGCGUGGGGAGCGAACAGG
rnacentral:rRNA from 1 species